UACGUAGGGUGCAAGCGUUGUCCGGAAUUAUUGGGCGUAAAGAGCUCGUAGGCGGUUUGUCGCGUCUGCUGUGAAAACUCGGGGCUUAACUCCGGGCCUGCAGUGGGUACGGGCAGACUAGAGUGCGGUAGGGGAGACUGGAAUUCCUGGUGUAGCGGUGAAAUGCGCAGAUAUCAGGAAGAACACCCGUGGCGAAGGCGGCUUUCUGGGACGGUACUGACGCUGAGACGCGAAAGCGUGGGUAGCGAACAGG
rnacentral:rRNA from 1 species